GUGCUCACUUACAGCAGCACAUAUACUAAAAUUGGAAUGAUACAGAGAAAUUAGCAUGGCCCCUGUACAAGGAUGACACGCAAAUUCACAAAGAAUUCCAAAGUGUGU